CUCCUUUUUUUCUGCCAAGUUUCAAGCAAAGCAACAGUUUCGUUUAGUUAAAAAAAACUCCAAUAGGUUCGGUAAAGUGCGGAUAUCUGUUAUCAACAAAACUUUUGUCAAAAAAUAAAAAUUCUUUGUAGGAAAAAUUAAAAUAGCAAUCAAAAGAUAAUUUUGCUUUUGCUUUUAUAUUCAAAUGAGAUUAAUUGAAAUAUCCAUUCCAUUAUCCGACGGGAGUUUACUAAAGUCAAUCUCAAUAGUUCAGUAUUCGUUUAGUUUCUACAGAAAGGAAUACAAGAUUCAAGAAUUCAAUAUCAAGAAUAUCAACUUCGUAUCACUGAAAGAUUUUGAAUAAGAAGCUGCAUUGAUUGCCGAAUCUUCGUCUUUGAUAGAAAACCAACGUAACAACUUCAUCACCGAAACCGAUCAUGAUUUGAAAUUUGAGAUACAGUCGAAAGGAAUCUGCAGUCUGCACUCUGCACACUUCAAAAUAAUCAACCUAUAAUAUCCUGGAAAAUUUGCUGUCCUAUUUCGAAUAGUCCAAGUCUGAUUUACGAAAGCAAGGUAAAGUCAAUAACAAUUCUACAUGGAUUUUAUGCAUUUUAAGAAGACGCUGCUAUCAAGAUACCCGAAUUGAAAUUUUCGAAAAUGAGUUCAAAACAUUGUUUUCGAUGGUCUUGACUCUUGAGUGAGCUGAUGAGAAAAUUUCUUGUUCAUUCUGAAUCCAAAAACCG